CGGGGUUGCGGACAGUGUCUGGUGGGUAGUUUGACUGGGGCGGUCUCCUCCCAAAGAGUAACGGAGGAGCACGAAGGUUAGCUAAUCCUGGUCGGACAUCAGGAGGUUAGUGCAAUGGCAUAAGCUAGCUUGACUGCGAGCGUGACGGCGCGAGCAGGUGCGAAAGCAGGUCAUAGUGAUCCGGUGGUUCUGAAUGGAAGGGCCAUCGCUCAACGGAUAAAAGGUACUCCGGGGAUAACAGGCUGAUACCGCCCAAGAGUUCAUAUCGACGGCGGUGUUUGGCACCUCGAUGUCGGCUCAUCACAUCCUGGGGCUGAAGUAGGUCCCAAGGGUAUGGCUGUUCGCCAUUUAAAGUGGUACGCGAGCUGGGUUUAGAACGUCGUGAGACAGUUCGGUCCCUAUCUGCCGUGGGCGCUGGAGAAUUGAGGGGGGCUGCUCCUAGUACGAGAGGACCGGAGUGGACGCAUCACUGGUGUUCGGGUUGUCAUGCCAAUGGCACUGCCCGGUAGCUAAAUGCGGAAGAGAUAAGUGCUGAAAGCAUCUAAGCACGAAACUUGCCCCGAGAUGAGUUCUCCCUGAGACUUUAAGUCUCCUGAAGGAACGUUAAAGACGAUGACGUUGAUAGGCCGGGUGUGUAAGCGCAGCGAUGCGUUGAGCUAACCGGUACUAAUGAACCGUGAGGCUUAACCUUACAACGCCGAAG
rnacentral:rRNA from 1 species